rnacentral:rRNA from 1 species
UACGUAGGGUCCGAGCGUUGUCCGGAAUUAUUGGGCGUAAAGAGCUCGUAGGCGGUCCGUUAAGUCGGAAGUGAAAUCUCAAGGCUCAACCUUGAAAUCGCUUUCGAUACUGGCGGACUUGAGGCAGGUAGGGGAAGGUGGAAUUCCUGGUGUAGCGGUGAAAUGCGCAGAUAUCAGGAGGAACACCAAUGGCGAAGGCAGCUCGCUGGGACGGUACUGACGCUGAGACGCGAAAGCGUGGGGAGCAAACAGG